rnacentral:rRNA from 1 species
GUGCCAGCAGCCGCGGUAAUACCGGCAGCCCGAGUGAUGGCCGAUGUUAUUGGGCCUAAAGCGUCCGUAGCUGGGUCCGAAAGUCCAUCGGGAAAUCCACUCGCUCAACGAGUGGCCGUCCGGUGGAAACUGCACAGCUUGGGACCGGAAGGCUCGAAGGGUACGUCCGGGGUAGGAGUGAAAUCCUGUAAUCCCGUCCGGACCACCGAUGGCGAAAGCACUUCGAGAAAACGGAUCCGACAGUGAGGGACGAAAGCUAGGGUCGCGAACCGGAUUAGAUACCCCGGUAGUCC